rnacentral:rRNA from 1 species
AUUGAACGCUGGCGGCAGGCCUAACACAUGCAAGUCGAACGAGUGGCGGACGGGUGAGUAAUGUCUGGGAAACUGCCUGAUGGAGGGGGAUAACUACUGGAAACGGUAGCUAAUACCGCAUACCAUCGGAUGUGCCCAGAUGGGAUUAGCUUGUAGGUGGGGUAACGGCUCACCAAGGCGACGAUCCCUAGCUGGUCUGAGAGGAUGACCAGCCACACUGGGACUGAGACACGGGCCAGACUCCUACGGGAGGCAGCAGUGGGGAAUAUUGCACAAUGGGCGCAAGCCUGAGGCAGCCAUGCCGCGUGUGUGAAGAAGGCCUUCGGGUUGUAAAGUACUUUCAGCGGGGAGGCGUUACCCGCAGAAGAAGCACCGGCUAACUCCGUGCCAGCAGCCGCGGUAAUAC